rnacentral:rRNA from 1 species
GACGAACGCCGGCGGCGUGCUUAACACAUGCAAGUCGAACGGAAAGGCUCUGCUUUUGUGGGGUGCUCGCGUGGCGACCGGGUGAGUAACACGUGAGUAACCUGCCCUUGACUUUGGGAUAACUUCAGGAAACUGGGGCUAAUACCGGAUAGGAGCUCCUGCUGCAUGGUGGGGGUUGGAAAGUUUCGGCGGUUGGGGAUGGACUCGCGGCUUAUCAGCUGGUUGGUGGGGUAGUGGCUUACCAAGGCUUUGACGGGUAGCCGGCCUGAGAGGGUGACCGGCCACAUUAGGACUGAGAUACGGCCCAGACUCCUACGGGAGGCAGCAGUGAGGAAUAUUGCACAAUGGGCGGAAACCUGAUGCAGCAACGCCGCGUGCGGAAUGACGGCCUUCGGGUUGUAAACCGCUUUCGCCUGAGACGAAGCGUGAGUGGCGGUAAUGGGUAGAGAAGGACCGGCUAACUACGUG